GACGAGCGCUGGCGGCGUGCUUAACACAUGCAAGUCGAACGGAAAGGCCCUGCUUUUGUGGGGUGCUCGAGUGGCGAACGGGUGAGUAACACGUGAGUAACCUGCCCUUGACUUUGGGAUAACUUCAGGAAACUGGGGCUAAUACCGGAUAGGAGCUCCUGCUGCAUGGUGGGGGUUGGAAAGUUUCGGCGGUUGGGGAUGGACUCGCGGCUUAUCAGCUUGUUGGUGGGGUAGUGGCUUACCAAGGCUUUGACGGGUAGCCGGCCUGAGGGGGUGACGCGCCACAUGGGGACAGAGAACGGCCCAGAACCCCUGGGGAAGCAGGCAGUGGGGAAUAUUGCAAAAGGGCGGAAGCCUUGUCCCAGCAACCCCGCGUGGGGAAGACCGCCUUUCGGUUUCAAACCCGCUUCCCCCGGUCACAAAGCGUGAGUAGGGUAAAGGGGUAAAGAGCCCCGGGCUAGCUACGAC
rnacentral:rRNA from 1 species